UACGUAGGGUGCAAGCGUUGUCCGGAAUUAUUGGGCGUAAAGAGCUCGUAGGCGGUUUGUUGCGUCGGCUGUGAAAUCCCGAGGCUCAACCUCGGGUCUGCAGUCGAUACGAGCAAACUAGAGUGUUGCAGGGGAGACUGGAAUUCCUGGUGUAGCGGUGAAAUGCGUAGAUAUCGAGAGGAACACCUGCGGCGAAGGCGGGUUGCUGGGCUGACACUGACGCUGAGGCGCGAAAGCUAGGGGAGCGAACGGG
rnacentral:rRNA from 1 species